CAACUAGAGGGAGAGAGAUUGAGAGUAGUACUAAAAUUUCUUCCUCCUCUUUGAUCGUCCGCGUCGGUGAACUUGGGUACGUUGUCCACUACCAAGAUAGGUGUUAGGGAGCUCACAAAUCCUCCGCUCUUCCUCCUCUAUUUGUGUAGCAGCUGUGAGCGUUGAUGCCAUCCUUCUUCUUUCUAUUCUCUGCUGUCAGCUCAUCGCCACCAUGGUUAAGCACCGAAGAGUCUUCUUUCAUCCUCCCUGCUAUCAUGCCCAGACCUUCUCCUCCUUGUUUCUAGAAUAGUUGAGAUAACUUGUACAUUUGUCAAAUCAUUCAAGGGACUUUAUUACUAAGUUACAGUUGAGAUGCUAUAUUGGUUCAUCUCUAUUUUCAUCUCCAAUUUUUUUAUGUAAAAUUUUAAUUUGUAUAUUGUACUUCUAUAAAUAAUGUUAUAAGUGCUCCACAUAGACUAUGGUUAAGAUCCUUUUUAUAAGGAAGGUUUUGUUAAAAAAAAACAUUGAAGCUUUGCUAUGACAAUUAGUAUUAAAAGUGUUAGAAAUUUCAUAUAACUUGAUUAUUUUAUUAAAAAGCAAAAAAAUUUCAUUUUGAGGCUUACGGGAAUGAAUGAUGUAGUUCACACCCAUGCCGGUUACCUUUUAUUUUUGAGGUGUGAUAGAUUGGUAUCAGAGCCUGGUUUCAUGUGGAGCAAGGACACUUCAUUGGGGUCUCAAUUAUCAUUAUAAAUCCGGACAUAAUUAUAAUUGAGGCAUCAUUGAAGGCCUUAUAGAGGGUCCUAUAAUGUUGUUAUUGUGUGUUAGUGUAUUGGUGUGCGAUUAAUCUCUGUUCUUUCUAUUUGCUCUUCUAGCUUUUUAGGUUAAGGGAAAUAAUGAGGUGGACAUCCAAGUAAAGGAAAACAAGAAAGGGAGGAGCUUUUGAAGGUAUUAUUAUUUAAGAAAAAAAUAACACCACACACACACAUAUAUAUACACUUCAGUUGUUAUAAGAGGAGCGAUAGGAACUUGAGUUCUAAUCUUUGAUUAUAAAUUAAUAUAUGUCAAGAAUUGGAGUUUAGAAACUCUCGUGACUUUAUAUUAGUGGUUGAAGGUUAUUUAUUGGUUUGAAUGGAGGAAAGAACCCAUUAUGCUUAA